UAGAUACCCUGGUAGUCCAUGCUGUAAACGUUGGGAACUAGGUGUGGGGUUCUUUCCACGGAUUCUGCGCCGGAGCUAACGCAUUAAGUUCCCCGCCUGGGGAGUACGGCCGCAAGGCUAAAACUCAAAGGAAUUGACGGGGGCCCGCACAAGCGGCGGAGCAUGCGGAUUAAUUCGAUGCAACGCGAAGAACCUUACCAAGGCUUGACAUACGCUGGGACGGUGCAGAGAUGUGCUGGCUUUUGCUGGU
rnacentral:rRNA from 1 species